UCCAGGAAGACAACUAGAUGUGAACCUCUGGCUUCCACAUAUACAUAUACCUUUACAAGAAUGUGUACAUAUACCACAUAUGUACAUGCACAAAAAACUGGUUAAUUAAAAUGGUAAAUCUGAAGUACCUAAAGUUAUUUUGUUUAAAGUCAUACAAAUAAACAAUAGAAGAAUCAGGAUAAAAAGACAAUCUAGAGUCUGUGUUCUCAACAGCCACAUUGAACAGCCUCUCCACAGAACAGAAUAAGGGUACUGUUCAUCUAUACAACAAAUCAUUAAAUAUAUAUUAAGUUAUGUUUAUAGAUACAGCACUAAAACUGAAAAUAUUUAUUAUAGAAACCUGAAAGAAGCUUCAUCACCGUAAGGAAGAUAUGCCCUCAUCUAUAAACAGGGCAUCUAUAUAUACAUUAAUUCUAUGGUUAACCUGAAGAUAAAUAAGAUGGUUUGGGUAAAAAAUAAUUUGGAAAGCAACUUGACAUAAUUUCUCAAUUUGGGGCAUUGACCAAAACAGCAUUUCUGCUAAACAACACUGCCUCCAAAAAAGUGUUCUCUGACUCUCCAAAUCUAGUUUUAAGCAUGGCUAAAUCUUUGCAGCCCCUAAACAUAACUCAUUUUUUCAUAUUGCAAGUCUAUUUAAUUACUUUCUGUUGAAAGUAGAGCUUUGCUGAGCAGCGGUGGCACACGCCUUUAAUCCCAGCACUCGGGAGGCAGAGGCAGACGGAUUUCUGAGUUCGAGGUCAGCCUGGUCUACAAAAAUGAAGUACUCUGAAACAGACAAACAGCACUUACAACGACAGCUGGAUAAAUGGCACACAAUAGGCUAGUUGCUGAGCCCUUUGAGUUGGAGAAACGAUCAGGAGUUACCUGCCAGGAAUGGACGACAUGGCAUAAUAUGGUAAGCCACAAACACAAAUUUUCCCCACAGAGUAUUUUCUAAAAUAUGAAAUUAAAACUUCACAAAAUGAAGAAGAAGUUUUAGAACCUAUUGACACUUAGGAAACAAGCUCUUGGUGGCAUCAAGAGCCUUAGGUAAGAUCAAUAAAGGAGAAAGCCUUGGAGAUGAUACUAAUACCUACUAUAUUCUUCUUCACAAUAUUUUCUACCAUGAAUGCCUUGAAACUAAGAACCCAGACUUACCAGGAGAAGAAAAAAGGAACUAGUAGAGUUUUGUCAACUGUAUGAUCAGAAAGUUGAGUGACCUCUAACCCACAGCCAUUUACUCCUCAAGACAUCUAUGGGGAAUGUGCACAGUGUAAACUGCCUUAGCUCCACAUACUCUAGACUUUUGGACUGGAGAAUCUUUUGGUCCAAGAAAUUCAAAACCACACAGCAAGACCCCAUGUCAACACAUUUUUAAGCAGUGAUAUAGUAUUAAAUAUGAUAUUUAUGCCCAAUCUAGGUCACAGACUCACAGACCCCCCCCCCCCCCAGAAUUCUAAUGUUAAGAAUUCAAGGUUUAGGACCAACAAGAUUAGGUAAAGCAUUUUGCCAACAAACCCUGGUGACCUGAGUUCCACACACAUGACCCACAUGGUGAAAGGAAAGAACCGAACCCCUCAAGCCGUUCUCUGACCUCCAGGGCCCAGUGUGGCACCUACACAGAGACAUGCACAUAUGUGAACAUGAUAUAAUUCUUUUCUUAAAGAAAAGAAAAAGAAAGAAAGAAAAGAUUUCCUGAAGUGAAAGAGAAACAAAGCCAAAGGAAGGCGAAUUCGAGGAACCAAAAGGGAAGGAUGGGUGGGAAGAGUGGACUGGUGAAGUCAAGCAGGCAAGAACGUGGUAAUCUGUCUGGGCUCCGCUAGGGAAAAAGCCUGGACCACAGUUCCCAUGGCGCCUUUAUAGUACCAGAUUGCAACCAGGUCCUUAGGCUGGGUCCUGGUCUUUCAUCUAUCCUCAGUUCCACAACGCGUCCUCCAUCACCCGGCUGCAGCAACUACAGGUCCUCAAAGAGGGUGGUACUCACCCUCCUUCUGUCCUCCCGCUGCUCUCUGUCCCUCCCAAGGACAGCACUUCUCUCAGCCUCCUCUCUCAGGUGCCUCAGUUGCAUCCCAACGGCUGGAAGAGGAGAAGGACACCACCGCCGGUGCCCUCUGUGCCUCCCUGGCUUGGAGAUGGAGUUUUCUCACUCCUUCAGGUAUCACUCUUGGGUUUUCUCCUCAGAGGCCGCAGCCAGGCCGCCGCGCCCAGCAUGGCAGGCGGCAUGGAACCACACCGCCCUCCAUAACGCCCUCACGUCAUGACGAGGCUGCUCUCCUCAGGGGCUUCGGUCACCUGACCCCACUCCUCAGCCAUCAGCCACAUUGCUGUCGAGCCCGGCCGCUCUAGUCACAAGAAAGUCAGGGCAAGGCCGAGCACGUGGCUCCGCUGCGCAGAGGACGACGAAGACCCGUGAGGAGACUCCCAACAUGCCUUGCGGCUCCGGAAGCCCAACUUCGGGCAUGUGGGGCGGUUCCACCCAGCGCUGCCUUCCAGCCUUCUUCAGGACAGUGUGCUACUGUCUGACCUGACUGGCCGAACCACAGCCAAACAAAACCAGCUCACCAGCAAAGGGCUGGUUUAUGCUUGUGGUUCAAGAUGUGAGCCUUAGCUUCCUGGCCCUGCUGCCAUGCCAUUACCUCAUUCUCAUGAACUCAAACCUUCUGGAACCAUAAGCCCAAAAUAAAGGUUUCUCUAUAAGUUGCCUUGGUUGUGGUAUUUAAUCACAGCAAUGAAAU